rnacentral:rRNA from 1 species
GAUGAACGCUGGCGGCGUGCCUAAUACAUGCAAGUCGAGCGAACGGACGAGAAGCUUGCUUCUCUGAUGUUAGCGGCGGACGGGUGAGUAACACGUGGAUAACCUACCUGUAAGACUGGGAUAACUUCGGGAAACCGGAGCUAAUACCGGAUAAUAUUUUGAACCGCAUGGUUCAAAAGUGAAAGACGGUCUUGCUGUCACUUAUAGAUGGAUCCGCGCUGCAUUAGCUAGUUGGUAAGGUAACGGCUUACCAAGGCAACGAUGCAUAGCCGACCUGAGAGGGUGAUCGGCCACACUGGAACUGAGACACGGUCCAGACUCCUACGGGAGGCAGCAGUAGGGAAUCUUCCGCAAUGGGCGAAAGCCUGACGGAGCAACGCCGCGUGAGUGAUGAAGGUCUUCGGAUCGUAAAACUCUGUUAUUAGGGAAGAACAUAUGUGUAAGUAACUGUGCACAUCUUGACGGUACCUAAUCAGAAAGCCACGGCUAACUACGUGCCAGCAGCCGCGGUAAUACGUAGGUGGCAAGCGUUAUCCGGAAUUAUUGGGCGUAAAGCGCGCGUAGGCGGUUUUUUAAGUCUGAUGUGAAAGCCCACGGCUCAACCGUGGAGGGUCAUUGGAAACCGGAAAACUUGAGUGCAGAAGAGGAAAGUGGAAUUCCAUGUGUAGCGGUGAAAUGCGCAGAGAUAUGGAGGAACACCAGUGGCGAAGGCGACUUUCUGGUCUGUAACUGACGCUGAUGUGCGAAAGCGUGGGGAUCAAACAGGAUUAGAUACCCUGGUAGUCCACGCCGUAAACGAUGAGUGCUAAGUGUUAGGGGGUUUCCGCCCCUUAGUGCUGCAGCUAACGCAUUAAGCACUCCGCCUGGGGAGUACGACCGCAAGGUUGAAACUCAAAGGAAUUGACGGGGACCCGCACAAGCGGUGGAGCAUGUGGUUUAAUUCGAAGCAACGCGAAGAACCUUACCAAAUCUUGACAUCCUUUGACAACUCUAGAGAUAGAGCCUUCCCCUUCGGGGGACAAAGUGACAGGUGGUGCAUGGUUGUCGUCAGCUCGUGUCGUGAGAUGUUGGGUUAAGUCCCGCAACGAGCGCAACCCUUAAGCUUAGUUGCCAUCAUUAAGUUGGGCACUCUAAGUUGACUGCCGGUGACAAACCGGAGGAAGGUGGGGAUGACGUCAAAUCAUCAUGCCCCUUAUGAUUUGGGCUACACACGUGCUACAAUGGACAAUACAAAGGGCAGCGAAACCGCGAGGUCAAGCAAAUCCCAUAAAGUUGUUCUCAGUUCGGAUUGUAGUCUGCAACUCGACUACAUGAAGCUGGAAUCGCUAGUAAUCGUAGAUCAGCAUGCUACGGUGAAUACGUUCCCGGGUCU